rnacentral:rRNA from 1 species
UACGGGGGGGGCAAGCGUUGUUCGGAAUUACUGGGCGUAAAGGGCUCGUAGGCGGCCAACUAAGUCGGAUGUGAAAUCCCCAGGCUUAACCUGGGAACUGCAUCCGAUACUGGAUGGCUUGAAUCCGGGAGAGGGAUGCAGAAUUCCAGGUGUAGCGGUGAAAUGCGUAGAUAUCAGGAGGAACACCAAUGGCGAAGGCAGCACUCUGGGACGUGACUGACGCUGAGACGCGAAAGCGUGGGGAGCAAACAGG